rnacentral:misc_RNA from 1 species
AAUUUUCUUACAGCAAUGCAGGCCAUGCCAGAAGGUUGUAGCAUCCCAUCACAAGUAGACCUUGCAUUCGUGGUGGAAACGUCAUCAAACGUCAAACCUAUAGAACUAAGGCAGUUUAAAGAUUUCGUGAAUAGAGUCAUAAACGGACUCACUGUGUCAAGCUUAAAGGUUCAAGUCGGUGUUGUAACGUUUGGGAGCCAAGCUAAUGUGCUUUUCCAUCUCAACGCUCACUCCAAUAAAAUCGACGUUGUAUCAGCCAUUGAUUCAAUAACACAGAGCGGUGGAUCUGUGGCUACCGACGUGGCGUUAAAACUAACGAGAGAUGACGUAUUUAACGUCAAGAACGGAGCAAGAAUUGGGGCAGCCAAAGUGACGGUCCUUUUAACCAAGAGUCUUCCAGACAACAGGAAAGCCACUGAGCAAGAAGCCAUUCUUCUUACCGAUCAUGACGUCACGUUGUUUACCAACGUCAUCGGCCCAGGGUUAAGUCCAAACGACCUUAAAAAUAUAAGUAGCCAGCCUAACUGUGUGCAUCAUAACUAUUUAGAGCGUUUUGAUGAUUUGGAAAAUUUUGCCGUCGAAAUGGAUCAGGCUAUUUGCCAUGCACCGGCUAUAGUGUCCUCUGGAACGCUCACCCACCCAUGCAAUGUAGAUACUCUACUCUCUAUACCAGACAGUCCUUAUGGAACGACAGUUCAGAUUUCAGUGGCGGGUGGGUCAAGGACGGUAUAUACGUCAUACUUAUAUGGACUGCCGAACACAGCCAAGAACGACUUAGCUUUCACAGUUGACAGUUCAAAAGCGUUGACCCUCUAUCUCCAUAACAACAGCCACAACUAUUUCAUAAGUCUAAAGAGUGUUUUUGGCUUGCUCUGCAUGAAUAACUAUACCGUGGAUGUUCAAGUUGGACCACCGGGGUCUGUUACGCCUGAUACCAUAUGCAUAGAAAAGGGCGUGAAAAAAGACUGCUCCAACGUUACAAUGAACUCGACCCCAGCAACCACUACUACUACUACAACGAUUACGACUACGACGGUUUCAACCACCCAAUCCACCCUAACAACACCGCCGACUUCAACUAAACUGCAUCAGACGACUUCGAAUAUUUGUGUAGGGAACAUCACGACCGCCCAACACCCAAGUGACCCAACCAAAUUCCUGAUGUGUGACAUUAAGGGCCAGAUUCUCGUAGUUCAAUGUCCACAUAAUGAGACAUAUUGCGCGUCUACAAAUCUCUGCGAAGCCAAAUGUCUCACCACGACUGCUAAGAACAGCCAACUUUCGACAACUCCGAUCGUGGCACCCACGUCGCUAGCGCCCUCAACAAAAACCACGACCCCAAAGAGUCCGAUUAUUAUAAUAGUUUUGACCACUGGUCCUCCAAUAAUCGUAGCUACUGGGUCAGGCUCUGCAUCCUCCACUACAACCAUUCCUGCACCUCAACCUACUUCCUCCCCUAAUACUGGUCCCUCUACAACUAAAACUGUUGCUUCCUCUACAACUCAAACUGUUGCCACUACAACACCAAAGACAACAUUAACAAGCCCUGCUCAUACUCCGUCUGUUCACCAUACAACAACACAUUCCACAACCAAUUCAAACUGUCACAAAAACCCGUGCACGGCCCAUGCUCUGAUGAACAACUUUCUGUAUUUUCCCGCCUGUGACGAGCAUGAAUAUUAUCAUUGUUCAGGUAUAAAUAUGAUGACUACCGAGCACUGUCCACCUGACAAAAUCUUUAAUCCAAAUAUUUUGAAUUGUGUCAAUGAAUUCGUUUUCAACGAGGAUACUCAAGUGUUUGAUAAGACGGUUCCGAACCCUUGCAAAAACGCACAGGGGGAUAUGUACUUUAUUCACCCAACUGACAAGACAAAAUUUAUUCACUGUGAUGGGUACUGGAAUGGUUUUAUGAGAACGUGUCCAUCUGGUGAAGUUUUUAAUCAAACAACUCAGACGUGUGUGUCUUUUGUCAGCUCCGUAUUUGGAAAAUAAAUCAUAUGAUGUACA